UCCCACUUCUAGGAAUUGCUGUAAAAAACCUACAGGAAGCUAAGCAGCAUCCAGCCUGGUUAGUACUAGGAUGGGAGACCACCUAGGAAGACCAGGUGCUGUAGGCG
rnacentral:rRNA from 1 species